UCGUGGAGUGAUUUGUCUGCUUAAUUGCGAUAACGAACGAGACCUUAACCUGCUAAAUAGCCAGGCUAGCUUUGGCUGGUCGCCGGCUUCUUAGAGAGACUAUCAACUCAAGUUGAUGGAAGUUUGAGGCAAUAACA
rnacentral:rRNA from 1 species